ACUGAAACAUCUAAGUACCCCGAGGAAGAGAAAUCAACCGAGAUUCCGGUAGUAGCGGCGAGCGAAACCGGAUUAGCCCUUAAGCUAGUUUUGCGUUAGGUGAAAGUUCUGGAAAGUUCUGCGAUACAGGGUGAUAGCCCCGUAACCGACAACGCAUUAUCAGUGAAAACGAGUAGGACGGGACACGUGUUAUCUUGUCUGAAUAUGGGGGGACCAUCCUCCAAGGCUAAAUACUCCUGACUGACCGAUAGUGAACCAGUACCGUGAGGGAAAGGCGAAAAGAACCCCUGUGAGGGGAGUGAAAUAGAACCUGAAACCGUGUACGUACAAGCAGUAGGAGCCCACUUGUUGGGUGACUGCGUACCUUUUGUAUAAUGGGUCAGCGACUUAAUUUUAGUAGCAAGGUUAACCGUUUAGGGGAGCCGUAGGGAAACCGAGUCUUAACUGGGCGAAUGAGUUGCUAGGAUUAGACCCGAAACCGAGUGAUCUAGCCAUGGGCAGGUUGAAGGUGAGGUAACACUUACUGGAGGACCGAACCGACUAAUGUUGAAAAAUUAGCGGAUGACUUGUGGCUAGGGGUGAAAGGCCAAUCAAACUCGGAGAUAGCUGGUUCUCCCCGAAAGCUAUUUAGGUAGCGCCUCGGACGAAUACUACUGGGGGUAGAGCACUGUUAAGGCUAGGGGGUCAUCCCGACUUACCAACCCUUUGCAAACUCCGAAUACCAGUAAGUACUAUCCGGGAGACACACGGCGGGUGCUAACGUCCGUCGUGAAGAGGGAAACAACCCAGACCGCCAGCUAAGGUCCCAAAGUUAUAGCUAAGUGGGAAACGAUGUGGGAAGGCUCAGACAGCCAGGAUGUUGGCUUAGAAGCAGCCAUCAUUUAAAGAAAGCGUAAUAGCUCACUGGUCGAGUCGGCCUGCGCGGAAGAUUUAACGGGGCUAAGCUAUACACCGAAGCUGCGGCAAUGUGCUUUUGCACAUUGGGUAGGGGAGCGUUCUGUAAGCCGUUGAAGGUGUGCUGUAAGGCAUGCUGG
rnacentral:rRNA from 1 species